UACGGAGGGUGCGAGCGUUGUCCGGAAUCACUGGGCGUAAAGGGCGCGUAGGUGGCGCGGGAAGUCAACGGUGAAAGUUCGGGGCUCAACCCUGAAUCGGCCGUCGAUACUCCCGGGCUCGAGCACUGUAGAGGCAGAUGGAAUUCCGGGUGGAGCGGUGAAAUGCGUAGAGAUCCGGAGGAACACCGGUGGCGAAGGCGGUUCUCUGGGCCUGUACUGACGCUGAGGAGCGAAAGCGUGGGGAGCGAACAGG
rnacentral:rRNA from 1 species